rnacentral:lncRNA from 1 species
UUUUGCACUGAUUGUGUGCUUUAUGCCUUGUAGGAGGAUUCCGAGCUAUGUGGAUGUUAUGGAAUGAAUUCGAAUGAUUUGGAGCUUUGAAAUCUAAGUAAAAGCCCAAAAGAUUAAGCCGGGAUCCUGUUCGGGGGUUGACGACCAAGUCUGAAUGUCAAAAUCGAAGCAAAAUCUGUACUCUUAGAAAUUUGCACUAAUGCAACGCACUAUGCGACACGCUAGUGCAAAUUCCUGCUCCUGUCAAAGUGCAAGCUCUCUGAAGUUUUCCACUGCCGCCCCGCAUGGCGCGUCGCCGCAUGCGGCGUGCCUGUACAUUUUUUACAGAGCUACAAUCCCAUUUCGACUGGAAAAAGGUAGUUUCAUUUGGGCCCGACCCUACUUGGUAUAAAUACAUGUAAAAAUAUUAUUUUGAGGACUUUUGACACAUCUAAGACCUAAGGAGGCUAGAGAGAAGGUAGAGAAGCGAAGUCUUAUGCUUUUUCUUUAUAUUUGUGAUGAAUUGCUCCAUAUCUAUAGAGUAACUUUAGGGAUUAAUGGAUUUGAUGUACUAAUAUUUGUUUGUGGAUAUUAAUUCUAGUUUUUAUGUAUUGAAUCGUUUUGAGUGUUUUAAUUGGUGCAUUUAUAUUCAAAUAUUCAUGUAAUCGAGAGAGGCAUAACUUGUGAUGUUUAUGCAUUAUCUUGUUGGUUGAAUUCAUUAAUUCUUCUUAGUAAUCGAAAGAAGCUAGUUGAAUUAUUGUUUAGACCUAGUUAGGAGGAUAAUCGAAAGAGAUUCUCUUAAAGACCAAUUCACUUCGAAUUCUUGCAUAUCUUCACUGAGCGUAAAUUGGUUCAUAUUGUGAGGUUGAAACUUAAUCGAGAGAGGAGUUUCUACUAAAUGGUUGAACUAAUAAUUGAGUGAAUUUGAGAGACUCACUUGAACAUCAGAAGUGAAUUAACUAGAACUAAAUCCCAGACAUUAUUUCUUACACCGAUCCAAUUAAUCCCUUCUUUUCUCCCAUUGAUAUCUUCGUUGCUUACUUUUGUUCGAUUGUCAUUAGUCAAUUAGCUCUAGAUUCUUAGUUAAUUUUAGUUUUAAUUUACAUAAUUCUCAACUGUUGAUUAUCUUGGAUAGCAAUCUAGCAAGGAUUGCUUCAAACUCUUCAAAACUGUUUAGAGGAAAGAUGAACAAAGAUCCAAACAACCAUCUAAUGGACUUCGAGGAAAUCAUGAACACCUUUCAAUUUCACAAGAUGCAGUCUACUUAAGGGCAUUCCCCUUCACGCUGAAAGAUGAUGCGAAGCAGUGGCUUCGAAGCUUGCCCGAGGGAUCGAUUAGAACAUGGAAGGAGAUGACUAGAAAAUUUCUUGAUAAAUAUUUCUCCUCAGCUAAAACGGGCAAGUUUAGAAGAGAGAUCCAUAACUUCUGCCAGAAAGAUACUAAAACGGUUUUUGAAGCUUGGGAGAGGUUUAAGGAGAUAGUCAGAAAGUGUCAACAUAGCUAAAUUGAACUCUGGAAGCAACUCUAGGAUUUUUUGGAUGGGUUGACACCGGCCUCACACAGAAAAUUGAGUAAUGCAGCUGGAGGCCCUUUGAUGAAAAAGACACCAGAGGAGAUAGUCACUAUUCUCGAUGAAUUGGCUGAAGAUGCAAAUCAGUGGCCCUCUGAAAGUGCUGAAAGAAGAAGGGCGAAUGGUGUUACCAGGUUGAUACUAACAUAUAUGUGCAGGUACAACUUGAUACUAUGGCAAAGGAGAUACAAAAUCUAACCUUAGCUUCAAUACAGAGUGAACCUCAUGCAGCUUGUGAUAUAUAUGGAAGAGGACACCCUACGCAUGAGUGUCAAGCCUCAACUGAGGAAGUUACUGCUGUUGGGAAUUAUAACUUCAAUGCAAUGGGUCAGAGAUACCCCGGUUUUUCAUGGAGUUCAUCUGGGGGUACAACGAAUGUAUGGCAACAGAAUAAUUCCAGACCUUAGGGACAAGGAGCGCCGGUUUUCCAAAAUCAGCAGUGGCCGCAAUUUCAGCCUCAACAACCCAUUCAACCUGGCUUAGAAGAUCUUAUGAAGGCCUUUAUUUAGAAAACUGCUGAGAAGCUCGAAAUUCAUAGCGCAACUAUAAGGGAACAUGGAGCAGCUAUCAAGGAAAUAGGUACUGGUCUUCGAAAUCUAGAGAGACAAGUGGGACAAAUUGCUACAAUCUUAUCUGAAAAGAUCCCAGGUACUUUGCCAGCUGAUACUGAAAGAAACCCCAAGGAGACGGUAAAUGCUGUAACUCUGAGAAGCGGGCAAGUAUUGGAAGAGCCCACCCCAGUCCAAAAAGAGGUGGUACUUGAAAAAGAAAGUGUGGAGCAUCUGAAAAAUGAAGUGUAUAAGAAAAAGAAUGGCAAGAAGGGAACUGAGAAAAAGAAGACUGAGGAGAAUUCAAGAAGGGAUGACCGUGAAGAGAGCAAGCACAUGCCUGCUUUACCUUUUCCCCAAAAGCUGUAUAGAGAGAAGUUGGACAAGUAAUUUGAGAGAUUUUUGGAUAUGCUGAAACAAGUUAAUAUAAAUCUGCCAUUCACAUAGGUGCUCUCCCAAAUGCCAGCUUAUGCAAAAUUCUUAAAGGAGAUCCUUACAAAGAAAAGGAAGAUAGAAGAGACAUCGGUAGUUAAGCUCAUAGAGCAUUGCAGUACAAUCUUGAAAAAUAAACUCCCACAAAAGUGUGGAGAUCCAAGGAGUUUUACUAUACCUUGCUCUUUAGGCUCUAUUAAUUUUGACUAAUCUUUAUGUGAUUCUGGUGCCUCAAUUUACUUAAUGCCUUUGUCUAUUUACAGGAAAUUGGAGAAGGAGAUUGGAGAGAUAAGGUUGGUGCCAAUAUCUUUGCAGUUGGCUGAUCAGACAACUCUGAUACCCGAGGGGAUAGUGGAAGAUGUUUUAGUUCGGGUAGAUAAGUUUGUGUUUCAUGUAGAUUUUAUUGUGGUGAAUAUGGAGGAGAACAAGGAGGUCCCUCUCAUUUUAGGAAGACCAUUCUUAGCAACGGGUAGAGAAAUCUUAAGCAUACACGAGAGAAGACUCAUGCUUAGAGUGGGUGAGGAGACUGUGACUUUUGAGAUGAAUGUAGAAAUGGGGGUUAAGAAGGAGAAGCCAACUGCAAGUGUUGAGUGAAAACUGAAGAGUUCGAAAGAAAAGGCUGCAACGAGUGGAAAAGAUAAGUGUGGGGGUGUACCCCAAGAAGGCUGAGAAGAAGCUGUCCGCAUGGAUGUGUGCAUUGGUUCGGGCACGUGGAAUGGAUCCCGACUUCGACUCAGACCCCAACUGAAAGUUCAAGGAAGUUUCCUUUAGAUUAUACUUUUUAAUUGUGUGUCAUAGGGACAUGCCACAACUUUAAGUGUGGGGUGCGGAAAAUUGUAUGUUGUAUGUAUCUGUGUUAGUAAUGUAGUUUUAUUGUUUUAGUAGUUAGAGAUAGAAAAAUGAGAAAAACCAUAAAAAAUUUAAACUUUUUGACUUUUUCCGACGAUGGAUAUCAUUCGAAGGUUUUCUUGAGGGAUUAAAGUCGAAAGAAAAAGACAAAAAGAUUUUCUUUUGUAGUUAGUGUAAUAAUUCCCUCUUGGUUUUUCUUUGUGCUGCGGUUCUUUUCCAAGGGUUUUGUUUGAACUGGGUGUAGUUAUUUUUUAUUUUGUUUUGUAGAAUAGUAGGAAACCUUGUGCUAUGAGUUGAAUUGAAAGUAAUAUCUUUUGACUUUAUUAUGCUUUGAGAAUAGUGAGUACUUUAGUUGUGACUUGUGACGCUUAGGCUCUGUUUUUGACUCUUGUAUAAGUACUUUAAAUUGUAUAAUUUUAACUUUGCUUAACUGCUUUGACUAGAGUGUCUUGAUAGUCCAAUCUUGAGUGAGUUAUGUGUCAUGUCUAGAACUUACCCUGUGUGUUUGCAAAACGAAGUAGUAGUUUUGUUCAGUCUUGGAAGUGAUUUAGGCAUUUCUUUGUUGAACCAGUUAUAUGCUUUUACCUACCUAAUUGUUAUGUAUCUUAGUUAACUCCUUUGAGCCUGUAAUCCUAUUUCUUUGGCAACCACAUUACAAGCCUUACCCAUUUGUUUGAAUCGACCAUCUAUUUGAACCAUUUACCUCUCGUAAGCACUUGAAUUGAUUAUGAACUUUGUAAAAGUUGGAGUGUGGGGUGGCUAGUUAAGCUUUUGAGUGGAAUUAAUGAAAUAAGGAGAAAGGUGCAAUGAAUUGAAAAAGUAAAAGCCAGUUGAAUUGAGAAACGAAGAAAAUAAUGUUGUGUUAUUAUGCAAUGAUUCUUUGAUAAGUGGCAACUUGAUGUAAAUGAGUUUAAAGAAAUAGGGAGUUAAUGCAUAUUGAUGUGAAGGCAGAGUAUGAUUUGACAUAAUUGUGGGGUUUCGAAUGUUAAAUUAUAUCUAUUAAAGUACUUAUGGAGGUGUAGUUACUCUUAUAUCUAAAUGUAUUAUACCCUUCCUGCAGCCUACAUUACAACUAGUUAAAGUCCUACUUGAUACUUGACUGAAUGAUCUCAGUUAGUAGAGUAAUACACUACAGGCAAGCCUAUGGUUUAUCUUUUGUGGCAUAUGAAUGUUAUUUCUGAGAGUGAGUGAAUUAUUUCUAUCUUGAGUUCCUAAUUGUUCUUAAUAUCUAUUGUGUGUGGAACUAAUCUCACUUGUUGUGAGGGCACUUAAUUCACGAAGGAAAGGUAAUGCUUGACUUCUAUGUUAGAGUAAGUGAGCGGGUUAUAAAUAAUGCGUAGUGCUUUUGAGUCAAAUCUUGAGGUGAAGAUGUUACACUAUUGUGCUUAGUCUAUUUUAAAUAUUCUUGGUGUAUUGAGUUGGGUGUGAAAAAGGUCGUGUCUUUAUAAAGUGUAGUUUGAUUGCUCGAGGACGAGCAAUGGUUUAAGUGUGGGGUAUUGAUGGUAGGCUAUAAUCUCAUGUUUUAGUCGCUUAUUGCACUCUAAUUUACUGCACUUUAAUUGAGUUUGAGCUUUAAUCGCGAGUGUUUUGCACUAAUUGUAUGUUUUAUACCUUGUAGGAGGAUUCCGAGCUAUGUGGAUGUUAUAGAAUGAAUUCGAGUGAUUUGGAGCUUUGAAGUCUGAGUAAAUGCCCAUGGGAUUAAGCCGGGAUUGUGUUUGGGGGUCAAGGACUAAGUCUGGAUGUCAAAAUCGAAGCAAAAUCCCUACUUUGAGAAAUUUGCACUAAUGCGACGCACUGUGCGGCGCGCUAGUGCAAAUUCCGGCUCCUAUCAAAGUGCAAGAUCUCUAAAGUUUCCCACUUCCGCCCCUCCUGGCGUGUUUCCCCAUGCGACGUGCCUGUACAUUUUUUACAGAGCUACAAUCCUAUUUCGACUAGAAGAAGGUGGUUUCGUUUGGGCCCGACCCUACUUGGUAUAAAUACAUGUAAAAAAGUUAUUUUGAGGACUUUUGACACAUCUAAGACCUAAGGAGGCUAGAGAGAAGGUAGAGAAGCG